UACGGAGGGGGCUAGCGUUGUUCGGAAUUACUGGGCGUAAAGCGCACGUAGGCGGCUUGGUAAGUUAGAGGUGAAAGCCCGGGGCUCAACCCCGGAAUUGCCUUUAAGACUGCCUCGCUUGAACGUCGGAGAGGUGAGUGGAAUUCCGAGUGUAGAGGUGAAAUUCGUAGAUAUUCGGAAGAACACCAGUGGCGAAGGCGGCUCACUGGACGACUGUUGACGCUGAGGUGCGAAAGCGUGGGGAGCAAACAGG
rnacentral:rRNA from 1 species